ensembl:lncRNA
UUGUUUUUUGUUCCUUUGUAAAUAUUUAUAAACAUUCUUGUUUUACAGAUGCAGGAACAGAGGCAUCCAGGUCUGUGUCUUGCCCAGAUCUAGACUGGAAUUGGGAAGAGAGGCUGUUCCCAAGCCUUGUAGCACUGCGUGGUUUUCCUGCCUCCUUUUUUACACUGCGGAGAUCAUGAGCACCUUUAAGCAAUGGCAGCUGAUCCCAGUAAUUCCAUGUCCUGUUCCUGCAAAGAAACAACCAGAAAGGGGAGCUCCCUGACUGGUGUGAGUUUUCAGGUAAAUUCCUGUCUACCAUCCCUCAGCCUUGAGUGAGCACAGUGGGUAAAAUCCUCAGGUUUUUUCUGGUCAUGUGGAUUCCUACAUCCAGAGGUUUCAGCUGCUUCCUUCUCUAAAGCAAAAGUUAAAGUAUCUCGAAAACCUUCUAAAUGGCAGUGAUAAUUUCACUGGCUGUCCCUGCAAGAAACAUUUACAGAACUUUCAUAAACAAUGCACAUGAUUAAUUAAGAUUCCAGAAGUUCGACUCACUAUGAAUAUUUUCAUAUUUUGGUCUGAUAUUGUAAACAACUCUAAUUUAACUGUUUCAGGGAAAGAGACAAGGAGGGAGGAAGGAAAGGAAAGAAGGAAGGGCAGAAGGUAAAUUAUCUCCUACUUUUUUCCUAAAUUGUUGUGUAACCCUCAAGCUUUAACCUGGCUCCUUCCAGAAGCAGCCAGAACUACUGCCAAGUGGCUGAGAGGAAAAGUCAAAUUAAGAAUGUUUAUACAUAAUUCCAUCCAUUUUGGCCCAAUGAACAAAUAGUAAAAUAAUUAAUAGCAGAGAAUUUUCCUGCGCUCAUUUCCACCCAGGAAUGUCUUUGCUUCUGAAAGAAAUUAUUCUGUGCCUUUGUAACUGCUGAAUACAGCUCCUCUUAUUAUAGAGCAGCUUAACCUGCAGGCUGUGUAUCUACAGUUUUAAUAACUUCAUUGUGCAGGAGCAGUGUGUAUUUUAGAGGACUUCCUAUUUCCAUUUCUCUGCAGCAUUUAUGGGCAAAGCAGUGCACAGAAAGCCACCUUAAAGUUCCUAAAGUGUCAUUGUAGUGGCUCAGCUCAAUAAAAAAAUCCUGUGAAAAUUAAACA